UUGUUAUAAAAUAUUAUAUUAAGUGAUUGUCAAAAGCUUAGUCAAGAAGACUCGCAAAUCUUAUCAAGUAAGUUUGGUGAAACUUACUAAGGAAGACUCGCAAAGCUUAUCAAGGAAGUCUGGCGAAACUUACUAAGGAAGACUCGUAUAACUUAUCGAGGAAGACUUACGAUACUUACUCGAGAAGAAUCAUAAUACUUAACCUAGAAGUAUUGCAAAUCUUAAUUAGGAAGAUUCAUCAACCAACCUCUAUAAAUAGCUGGUUCAGUUGAAAUGAAUUCUAUUCUGAAAUAUUCUGAAAUACAACUACUUUCUCUCUCCAUCUCCUAUUCUCUCUAUACUUUCCAAGAUAGUUUCUUUUCCAUCGUUGUUUAGUUUAAAUAGUAUAUAUUACAAGAUUUACAACACGUUAUCAGCACGAGACUCUGCCGAACUGAGAUAUGCCAAAGAAGGACUCUGCCAAACUGAGAUAAGUCAAAUAAGGUACAUCAUAAACAGGUACAAUCUAACCAACUCUAAAUACUGCGACUUUCACAGAAAUAAGGUACGAUUUAUCUCUACUCAUUUUACGAUUAUUACUAUCGUUAUAGCUUAUGACUUUACUAUUGCUUGAUUUGUUAAUGGCGACAAUGCCGUUAAAACUUUUUAGUUAUAUCAUACUGUAUAGAUAUUAAAUUGUUUUUGUAUUAACUUGAAAUAUUGAUAGGUCAUGUUUUAAAUAUUUAUUUUACAUUCAGAAUGACGAACCUUGUAAAAUUAGAAUUUGUUGCCUUGGAUGUUUCUGGGAAUAAUUAUCUAUCUUGGUUCCUUGAUGUGAUAUUACACCUUAGUGCUAACAGCCUAUGACACUAUUGAUUUAUAAAAUAAUCCCCAUUGUUUAACAAAAUGUCAAACCAAUUAUCUUUCUAAGACAUCACAUCCAUGAAGACCUAAAAUCUGAAUAUCUCAUUAUCAGAAAUCCCCUUACCCUUUGGAAUAAUCUCAAGGAUAGAUUUGAUCACCAGAAACCUAUUCACUUACCAUCUGCCCGUUUUGACUGGUUGAUUUGAGGUUACAAGAUUUCAAAUAUGUAGCUGAAUAUAAUUCUGCUUUUUUCAAGAUAAGCUCAAAUUAAUUUUGUAUGGUGAAAAUAUUAUUGAUGCUGAAAUAAUUGAAAAGACCCUAUCAACUUUUCACCCAAAUACUAUGAUUUUGGCACAACGAUAUAGAGAGCGGAGUUUCCAAAAAUAAGGCGCGAUGGUAUAUCUCCUUGUGGUUGAAAAGAAUAAUGAGUUGCUAUUGAAAAACCAUCAGAUUCGUCCCAUAGGCUCUGCCCAGGUACCUGAAGUACAUAACACGUCAUUCCUGAAGAAUGAACGUGGGAAAGGGCAUAGAGGAGGACGAGGUUAUGGACGAAACUGUGGACGUUGAAAUUUCCAUAGUCGGUUUCGAAAUCAAUAUCAUUCUGGCCACCUGAAGGGGCAACAUGAUGGUUACAACUCAGGCCACUAGAAAUGGCAACGUGAAGUGCCAAAAGAAAGGCACUCCAAGAAGGGGAGAACCGAGGCAUAUGUCAUUGGUGCGGAUCUGAGGGACAUUGGCAAUGUACCUAUCGCACACCUAAACAUCUUGUUGACCUGUAUGGGUUAUCCAAAAGAAUAAUGGAAAGAGAGUAGAAACAAACUUUUCUAAUUAUAAUCUAGUUGAUGAACCAAUCAAUAAGGUCUCAAAUGAAAUAGAUACUGGUGCUAACCUUUAUUAUGGUUGAGAGGACUAGACUUCAUACGUAUUGUCUUGCUUUACUUAUUACCUUUAUGUUUUACUUAUUUUCUUUAUCUGCUUGUUUCAUGUUGUUGUUUGGUAUACUCGGUGUGUUUUUAAAAGAUGUUUUUCAUUUAUAUAUGUAUAGAGAUGAAAGAUAUAUGCAUGAUUGAUUGCACAACCACACACUAUUUUAAAAAGUUAGAAAUACUUUCACAGUUGACUAAUAAAACCAACUUACAUGUCUGGACGGUAUCGGGUACAUCAUACAUAAUAGAGGAUUCUGAGAAGCUAGUUUUAUUCUGCCAAAUAAGACGCACAUAAGAUGCUCUAUACUCUAGAAAGGCAACUAGAAACCUACUAAGGUUUAAAGAUACUCGUUUGUAAUGGUUUCACGUUGAAACUACUGAUGAGAAUGAAAAAGAAUAUCUUCUCAUCACCUCAAACACCGUUGACAAUAAAAAGGUCUUUGAAAAAUUUCACUCAAUUUCUUCAGGAUUAUAUGUUACAAGAAUAAGAGCUAUUGAAUCUCAUAGUGUCAACAUUCCCAAAGUCACAAACCUAAAACUACUUUUCCCUUGGCAUGAAAGGCUUGAUCAUCUAGGAAUAUCUAUGAUGCGUCAUAUUAUUAAAGAAUCUAGAGGACAUCCUUUUAUAACUCAAAAGGUAAUGCCCAAGGUGAACUUCCUUGUUCAGUAUGUUCCUUAAAAAGUUUUGAUUGUCUGAUCAUUCCUAGUUAAGCUUCAAACUGAAUCCCCGAAAUUCUUAGAAAGAAUUCAAGGUGACAUUUGUGGUCCUAUUCAUCCAUCUUCUGGCACAUUUAGGUACUUUAUUGAUGCGUCAACUCGAUGGUCCCUUAUAUGCCUUUACCAAAUUACUUGCCUUAAUAAUCAAUAGAGUAAAGAGCUAUGUGAGCUACAAUUAUUUAGUAUCUUGUCAAAUAGUAGUUCACAAAUAAAAUCGAAUCAUAUGAUUGUCAUAGACAAUCUUUUGGUUAACUGGUCAUUAAAAAGAUUUUAGAGAUACUAGUGGGGGACUUUUGAUAAUUGAAGAAUGUGCCCUUAUUGCAUUGUCACAAAGAACUACACUGAGGCACAAUAGUAUAUAUGCUGGUUUUGAUUCUUCGUUUAAUAUAAGGUAUCUAGAGCCAUUAACUGGUGAUAUUUUUUCUGCUCAGUAUGCUGAUUUUCAUUUUGGUGAAUCUAUAUUCCCUAAAUCAGGGGGAGAAAAUAUUUUGCAUAAAUUAUGUGAUAUCUUCGAAUGCAUCAGUUUUGAAUUAUAUUGAUCUACUAAUAAUAUGGGUCAUAACUUCAAAGAGUUAUUUAUAUGCAAAAUAUUGAUAAUCAAUGCCGAAUUCUUUUAGUGAUUUUUAGACAUAUUAUCACACAUACAUGCUAUUAAUGCUUUGGUAAGGAUUGAAAUCCUGAUUUAUAAAGCAAUUUUUGAAGAAUUGGUUAGAAUAUAAUAAGCACGCCGGAAGCGUGGGAAAUCUAUUCGUACAUAUGAUAUUGUACUGUGAAAUUACAAAUUGAUUAUACUUGCCCCAGAAGUGGCAAGCUUUUUGAUAUAUACCCUAAAAGCGGUAUUACCCCUUGUAGAGGUUAUUCUUUUAUGAAACGGAAAUUAAUUAGACUUGCCAAGAAGUGGCAACAAUUCCAUAAAAUACCCCAGAAGUGGUAUUACCUCCUGAAGAGGUUUGAGCCCCUGAAGUGGCUGAAACAAAAUUCCUAGAAAUGGGAUUAUCUCUGAAAGAUGAUAUUGUCCCAGAAGUGACAAAUACAUACCCUAGAAGUGGUAUUGCCUCCUGAAGAGGUUCAAGCCCCUGAAGUGGCUGUGACAAAUCCUCCUGAAGAGGAAAUUGCCCCAGAAGUGGCACAUGCCCUAGAAGUGGCAAAUGCCCCAGAAGUGGCAAAUGCUUCCAUGGAAGCAAAGGUACCUGAAAGUUAUGAGAUCUCUAUAAUUUAUGUACAUAAAGGGAAAUUAUUGGAUCGUGAGAGUACUAAGAUUGAUGAUGUGUAUGUUUUUCCGUGAUAUGUGAUAUUAUUAUAAACUCCGAUCCUAAAGUGUCGACAAUGAGAUGAUUGGAUCGUGGGAGUAUUGAGAUUGAUGAUAUGUAUGUGAUAUUAUUAUAAACUCCGAUCCUAAACCACAAAGUGUGGAGAAGUGUCGACAAUGAGAUAAUUGGAUCGUGGGAGUAUUGAGAUUGCGAUAUGUAUGCAAUAUUAUUAUGAACUCCGAUCCUGAACCACAAAGUGUGGAAGAGUGUCGACAAUGAUAUGAUUGGCCAAAAUGAAAAAUUGCAAUUUAGGAAGAAUUGCAAUCCUUGCGCAAGGUAAAUGUAUAUGGACCUAUAGUUUAAACACCAGCUGGUGAAGUCCCUGUUGGGAAUAGAAGAGUAUUUGUAUGAAAAUGAAAUGAGAGAUGAAAUUGUGAGAUAUAAAGCUUGGUUGAUAGCCCAAGGAUUCUCUCAGAGACCUGGAUUUGAUUAUUAGGAAACAUACUCUCCUAUAAGGGAUAGAGUUACUUUUAUUUCCUAAUGGGUAUAAUUUUAAUCACCAGGAAAUAUACUCUCCUGUAAUGGAUGGAGUUACCUCUCAUUUUAUAAUGAGUAUGGCUUUGGAAACACGUCUGAUGGACGUUGUGAUAGCAUACUUUUAUAUAUCACUUGAUAGUGAUAUUUUUAUGAAAAUCCCUGAAGGAUUAGAGAUAGAGGACACUAAGCCUUGACAUUUAUAUUAUGUUAUAUCCCAACGAUUAUUAUAUGGUUUGAAACAAUUUGGUCGUAUGUGGUACAACAUGCUUGGUAAAUAAUUAUUGAAUGAUGGAUAUGUUAAUCACCAGGUAUGUCUUUGCAUUUUUAUUCAACGUUCACCAACCGUUUUUGUUAUAAUUGUUGAUAUGUGGAUGAUUUGAAUAUUAUUGGUACUUUUGAAGAUAUUACUAAUGCUAUUAACCAUUUGAAAAAUGAGUUUUGAAAUGAAAGAUCUUCGAAAGACAAGAUUUUGUUUAGGUAUACAGGUGGAACACUUAUCUUCAGGCAUAUUUGUUUAUCAAUCAAACUACAUUGAAAAGGUCCUUGAUCGGUUCUAAGUGGACAAAGUUCAUCCACUAACCACGUCAAUGGUUUGUCAAUCACUUGAGGUUGAAAAGGAUCCCUUCCGUCCUAGAGAACAGGAUGAAUAAGCACUCGAAUCUGAAGUUUCCUACCUUCGUGCAAUUGGAGCCCUUAUAUUGCAUUUGUUGUGAACCUGUUGGCGAGAUUCAAUUCUGGCCCAACUAAAAGAUGCUGGAUACAUGUCAGAUCUUCACUUUGGGCGAUUACAAACAAAGUUACUGGAAAUUCAUGAAGCAAGCAAAUGAUGUAUUUGGUUAAGACAACUCAAGAAAAGACAUAUCUAAGGAGAUCGAACAAAACACAUAUUGUCAGAAUUCUUCUAUACUCAGGAGUUUCAAGAAAAUGGUGAUAUUGAUGUACAACAAGUUCGUUCAUCCAAUAACCUGGUGGAUAAACCUGCAAAGUCAUUACCGACAUCAACAUUUGAGAAGUUACGAAGUUAUAUGGGUAUACGAAGAUUAAAAGGUCUACUAGAUCAAGAUGUCGAAAUGUGAGUAAUUUAAUUCAGGGGGAGACUGUACUCUUUUUCCUUCGACAAGGUUUUUAUCCCAUUGGGUUUUUCCUUGCAAGGUUUUAACGAGGCAGUCAAUCUCUAUGAUAACUCGCAUUUGACAAUCAAGGGGGAGUGUUAUAAAAUAAUAUAUUAAGUGAUUGUCAAAAGCUUAGUCAAGAAGACUCGCAAAUCUUAUCAAGUAAGUUUGGUGAAACUUACUAAGGAAGACUCGCAAAGCUUAUCAAGGAAGUCUGGCGAAACUUACUAAGGAAGACUCGUAUAACUUAUCGAGGAAGACUUACGAUACUUACUCGAGAAGAAUCAUAAUACUUAACCUAGAAGUAUUGCAAAUCUUAGUUAGGAAGAUUCAUCAACCAACCUCUAUAAAUAGCUGGUUCAGUUGAAAUGAAUUCUAUUCUGAAAUAUUCUGAAAUACAACUACUUUCUCUCUCCAUCUCCUAUUCUCUCUAUA
rnacentral:lncRNA from 1 species